CAAGACGGUCUUGUCCUCGACGCCCAAGAAGGUUACGUUGUCGUACUUGAUGAGGCAGCCGUCCAGCUGCAACGCUCCUCCGCACGAGGAGGCGCAGAGGGUGCCCAGCUGGGUGACGGCCCUGGCUAUGCAGCGGCUGCCCUGGAGAGGCAGCGGCUGCAGUCGGCGGGAGGGAGGUCUCCGCGGCACUGGUAAAGGCCGUAUAUGGUUGGGGAGGAAUAUUGGGUAGAAGAAGAAGUGAAGUUGUUGUAAAGAGAGAAGGAGGCUGAGUUGACGAGGGAAGUGAGCAGUGAGUUGAGGGUUGACUCGUAGGGGGAGCCAGGUGUGUAUCUUAGUUGAGAGCAGCCACCGUAGACGAAGGUGUCGAUAGAUGUGGAUGAAACGCCGGCGACCAGCAGUACAAGAGAGAAUAUUAGGAGAGUGGGGGCGAGAGAUUUAGCCAUUGGAGGCUUUUUCUUCUUCUGGUGGCAAAUGGAAGGACGAGAGGGAUAUCGUGUUCAUAAUUUUAUUAUUAUUAUUAUUAUUAUUAUCAAAAGUGGUGUAUAGUAUGAGUGGAUGCUUGGUGAUAAAGAUAAAGUGAUAUCUUUAUUUCCAUACUUUUUAUUAACGACUUUGAACGCGAC
rnacentral:lncRNA from 1 species